GAAGUGCGAAAAGUGUCAUGACUUGCAGAUUCCCGAGAGCUGACAAACUUCUGAAUGCAAAUGGCGGCCGUCAAAAACGGCCAUGUAUGGCAGAGUGUAGUUGUUCAGACUAAUCACACCCCUUUUCAUCAUACGUUGGUGGCUAGGCUAGGUAUCUGCGUUUACGACUUUUGAUAAGCAAUUAUCAAAGGCGUGAACGUGAAACAUCGGGCCCUUCAUUUCAGGUUGGUGGGAGGUUAUUAGAGAGAGCAAUCUCUCUAAUAAUUCUUUCUCCAUCCUGGAAUGGGGUGACUUCGGAAGCAAUUUUUGAAGUUUCACAGCGCUCGCAACUAUAGGUAAUCUACCUCUGCCAUGCAGGAGAACCCGCUGAACUUAA
rnacentral:misc_RNA from 1 species